GACAAGGAUGGAGUUUCAAGGAGAUGUGCUGGAUCAAUGGAUAAUGGCAUUGUCUCUGGCUUAAUGCUUCUGUGAAACAUCCUCAGCUGGUGUUGUGCCUGUUCGAGAGCCCCAAAGGACCACCAAGGAGCAGAUUCAAAUGCAAUCGCAGUGGGGUCUUUUUAUUCAAGCUAGGGCUUAGACUCAUCGCGGACACUGAACCAGCAGGAUAAAUAGUUCGGAAAGCCCGGAGCCCAGUUUCAAGCAAGCAUUUAUAGAGACAUAUUUUCUCUACUCGGCUUUCAUCCUGCUCAUAUCCACUGAGAAAAUUUAACCAUUCAUCAAGGGAUAUCCUAAGUCCCAUCAACAGCCCAGACCAGCACUACUUUUAUCUGGCCUUUAUCUGCAUUUCUUUACCAGACCUAGAAAGGGAAGAAAAUUAGAGAGCAAGAAUGUUACAUCACAAAACUGAGAGCACCUGACCAAACUGACAUCCAGAGUUACAACAAAUGUCUACUGCCAGAGCUUGCCAAGGUAUUUGUUCACUCUUCCAGAUCCAUGCAGGAGGCACUCUGGUGACAGAUUGCAGCUCAUGUCGUAGCUGUCAUCAUGAAAGACUUGAGUGAUGACUGUGCCAAGCCUCGUAUUCUGAGCAGGGACUCUCUGGCACUGUUUUCUGCAGGGCUGGCCCCAAGCUAACCUUGGAGUCUGUUACCUUUUCCCUCCCACUAUCCUCAGGGAUGCUCAAACUUCCUUGCUUUCUGACUCCUCACCAUCUUCUAAAUCUUCAC